rnacentral:rRNA from 1 species
GAUGAACGCUAGCUACAGGCUUUAACACAUGCAAGUCGAGGGGCAUCGGGAAGAAAGCUUGCUUUCUUUGCCGGCGACCGGCGCACGGGUGAGUAACACGUAUCUAACCUGCCCUUUACUCGGGGAUAGGCCUUUCGAAAGAAGAUUAAUACCCGAUGGCAUAAUGAUUCCGCAUGGUUUCAUUAUUAAAGGAUUCCGGUAAAGGAUGGGGAUGCGUUCCAUUAGG